rnacentral:rRNA from 1 species
AUGGCCGCCAGGGUGCCUGACCUCGGCUCCGACUUCGCCCAGAAGAUGCUGCACGACCUCCGCCGACGCCGCCAGAGGCUCGGCUUCGGCUCGCCGUCGGCCGCAUCGGCGUCGAAUGCCGCCGCCGCGUCUCGGGAUGCCUGCUCGAACUCUCAGAAACCAUCUACAAGCCAGAGGCCGCAGCAGGCAGCAGCCGCCCCUCGAUCGAGCAGACCAGAAGCAACGACGGCACCGAGAUCAUCACACCAGCAGCAACCCAGCACCAGCAAUGCCGCCGUGGCCAGCGCGGCCAAGCCACGGCGAGGACGCCCUGUCGCCGCCGACGCCGACGCGCGCGCCAUCGUGCCGUUCCAGGGAGGAGACGCGGGGGACCGCAAGCCAGAGCAUGCCGUCGUCGCGAGCAGCGUCGACGUGCAGAUGGCGGCGCUGGCCCUCGCGCUCAGCGACGGCGGGAAGCUCCGGAACAUGGAGGUCGUGGCGCGCAACGGCUCCGUCUUCUUCCGCCAGCCGGACACGGCCCGUCGCGGCGGCGGCGGCGGCGGCGGCUACCUCCUGCCGUCGCCGCCGCCUUCCGGAGGAGGUACAGGCGCGCCCGCCGGCGAAGUGGCGAUCGGGGUGCAGGACCUGAACGACAUGCUCAUGGCGGCCUACUCCUCGGGCGGGAGGAGGAGGCCCGACGACGAGGCCCGGAGGAAGCUCUUCAGAGGGUCCAUGGACAUGGAGGAGGCGCUGAGCAUGCUGGUCAUGCUCCAGGACGCCUCCCGGUACAUGGAAGGGUCGGGGAGCGGGCUCAAGGGCAAGGAGAACCGCAAGGGCUUGGCGGCGGCGCGCUCCGCGAGGAUCGAGGAGAUCGUCGACGAAGAUUCAGAUGCUGAGCGUGCCAAAAAUGCUUCCAUGCAGAUGGUUGUCCACGACAAAUUUCAGAGCCAUCGGAAUGCAGACAGUAGCUCAGUUAUUCAGUCUGGUCCAGGCAGCUCCAAGAUCAACAGUGCUUCUGAAGGUGAAAAGGAUGGCUCGAAGGUGAGGAUGCCGAGCGUGAUCGCCAAGCUGAUGGGGCUGGAGAACCUGCCUUCGUCGACGUCGACGACAACGAAGACCGUCGCGGAGCGCAAGGGGACGGAGAGGUUUGUGAAACCUGGAGCUGUGCCAAGAAUGGAGAUCAAAGCAGAUGCGAUGAACCGCAAACUGCCGAUACGGAUCAUAGCUUCAGAGAAGGGUCAGCACAAGAUUGUGUUGUCAGGGGAGUGGAAGACAAACUUUGGGGACUCUGAAAUGGGUGCUGCUGCACUGUCAAACAGUUCAUCACACCCUGCAACUGCAACUGGUAAUAGCAGGCAAGGAAGGCUGACCAUGAGGGAGGUGCUGAGAAAGAUGGUAGCAGCAGAGAGAGGAGCUGAUGAAAAACAAGAAGUAGAGGAGAGGAUCAUCCAUGAGGACAAGGGGAUUGCUGAAGAAAUCAAACUGCAGAACUCCGUCAGCGUCGGGUGCCGCGCCGAUUCGGGUAAGAGGAUGGAUUUUUUGAAGAGAUUCAGGAAGAAUUCAGACAACAACAGGCCUGUCAAGGAAGAGAAGCAGAGUGCUCAGGAGAAGAGUGCAGCAGCUGGAAAGAAGCAGGCCACUGGCAUGAGACGGUUGCUGGGGAGAGACGGCGAGGCGAAAUCAAGGAAGGCGAGGGAGAAGCUUAACAAGGAGAACCUUGCCACUGCAGAAACCAAGGCUGCAGGAAAGAAUGGGAAGACAGAUCAGGUCAAACAUCAAGCGCAAAGUAAACAUGUAGACAGACAAAGCAAGCCGAGGAAACCGCAGAAUCGUCGGGAAAUGCAGAGCGAAACGCCGAGUCGGAAGUUGGAAAACAAGAAGAAGGCACUGAUGCCAGAAGCAGGGCAUAUGAAAAAGAAGCCUGAGUAUACUGUGGUGACACAACAGGAGAAUGAAGAACUUGCAAAAGAACAUGUCAGUUUUAGCAAACCAGCAGAUAGCACACAUGGCGAAGGCGGUUUGUCAGAACCAUUGGCAAUAGUAGUGAGAGGCCGCAACAUAACUGGAGCAGCCUCCUUGGACCAACCAUUACAGAAAAUAACUGAAGGAUCUAGUGAGAAAGCAACUGAAACACCGAGGGAACCGCAAAAUCGUCGGGCAACGCAUAGCGAAGCACCAAACCGGAAGUUGGAAAACAAGAAGUCACUGUUGUCAGAAGCAGGACAUAUGAGAAAGAAGCUUGAGUACACUGUAGUGGCACAAGAGGAGAAUGAGGUAGAUGCAAAAGUAAAUGAUACUAUCAGUUCUAACAAACCAGCAGAUAGCACUCAUGGCGGAGUCGGUUUGUCGGAACCAUUGACAGUGGUAGUGAGAGACAGCAGCACAGCUGAAGCAAUUUCUUUGGACCAACCUUUGCAGAAAAUAACUGAAGGAAUCAGUGAUCCUACAAUUCCUGCAGAGACUGUUGUACAUGCAAGUGAGGAUUUGAAGUUCCUUGAUCAGAUUGCAAUUGCUGAGAUAAAUGAUGAUAGGAUCAACCACACACCUAGUGAGACUACACAGAUACCUGAAAUAUUUGCCGAGGAAGAACAGCAGCAGCAAGAACAACAACAACAACAACAACAACAACAACAACAACAACAACAACAACAACAUCAACAAAUGAUAGUGAAAAAGCAGCUAACUGAGGAUUUGAAGGUCUUGGAUCAGAGUACGAUUCCUGAGACAAAUCGUGCAAUUUGGUGUAAAAUGCAGGAUGAAUGGAUCAACCACACACCUAGUGAGACUACACAAAUGCCUGAAACAUUUGCCGAGGAAGAACAACAAGAACAAGAACAACAAACGAUAGUGAUACGGGAAGCAUUUACCGAGGAGGAAGAACAGCGGCAACAAAUGAUAGUGAAAGAGCAUCUAACUGACGGCUCUGAUGAUCAUACCACAACGUCCAUCAGUACUGAAAAUUUGCAGGAUCACAAGACACAUGUUGUUACAUGCGAUUCUUUGACAGAGAACCAACUCCUGCUCAUGAGACUGCUGGUAAAGGAUCGGUACUUGCUGGAAACCGCAAAGGCGAUCGUCAGAGUUGACGCUCCCGUCAGUUUCAUCGACGCUGACGCCGGUGCACCGAACUGGUCGGUCGACAAAGGCAACAACCUCCUCUCCGAUGUGGCCCGGGAGGUGGUCAGAAGGAAAGGCAAGAGGAGCGAGGCCAUGGAGGAGGUCAGCGUGGCGCGCACCGCCAACCUGAGGCUGCAAUACCUUGACGAUCUCGUCAGAGAGCUGGACGGCGACGUCGAGAGCCUGGACAUGUCAAAGUCCAAGAGAACUCAGCAGCAGGGUGACAAUCGCGCGGCCGAAAAUCUGCGUAGGAUACUUGAGAGUGACAUUCAGAAUGACCACCCCGACGCCAACUCGACGUGGGAUUUCGGGUGGAACCGCGUGUGGGAACUGCCGAUGGAGAAGGGCGACGUUGUCAGGGAUCUGGAGAAGAACAUACUGGGUGGCAUCAUCACCGACGUGGCGAGGGAUCUCAUCGGAGUAUCGGUACGACAUGGCUGUUGUCCCUGCGUGGCUUGA